UAGAUCGGGCUGAGAAGAGCAUGACAUAUACUGCGAUGAAGAUAUUUUCUCCUCGGACCUUGAAAAUUUAUGGUGCCUUACACGGGAAACUUCUCAACAGGCCGUACCAAUAUCCGCAGCUGGUCUCCAAGGUGAAGAGUCUCUAGUCGAUAGAAUAAUGUAGGUAAGGGAAGUCGGCAAAUUAGAUCCGUAACUUCGGGAUAAGGAUUGGCUCUGAAGAUUGAGAUAGUCGGGCUUGAUUGGGAAACAAUAACAUGGUUUAUGUGCUCGUUCUGGGUAAAUAGAGUUUCUAGCAUUUAUGUUAGUUACUUGUUCCCCGGAUAGUUUAGUUACGUAGCCAAUUGUGGAACUUUCUUGCUAAAAUUUUUAAGAAUACUAUUUGGGUUAAACCAAUUAGUUCUUAUCAAUUAUAACGAUUAUCAAUUAACAAUCAAUUCAGAACUGGCACGGACUUGGGGAAUCCGACUGUCUAAUUAAAACAAAGCAUUGUGAUGGCCCUAGCGGGUGUUGACACAAUGUGAUUUCUGCCCAGUGCUCUGAAUGUCAAAGUGAAGAAAUUCAAGUAAGCGCGGGUCAACGGCGGGAGUAACUAUGACUCUCUUAAGAACAAAAUGAAUUGUUAUCGCGUCCGGCAAUAGAAAAAUAUUGGGCGAACAAAUUGUACCUCUCAGUUGAUGGUAGCGGACUCCGUGAAGCAGGCCAUUGGGGCCCGCAACACGGGUGGGUUAAUCAACCCACGCGUUUACUAACAGGAAAGGAUAUAUAGACGGUAUUCGUCUGCGGGAUAAAUGCCCUACCCACGAAGUCUCGUACUACAAGGGGAAGGCACGAAUCGGAACGACAGU
rnacentral:ncRNA from 1 species